rnacentral:rRNA from 1 species
GUGAAAAGGACCCCGGGAGGGGAGUGAAAGAGAACCUGAAACCCUAUGUUUACAAACUGUGGAACAGCGCAAGCUGAACCGCGUACUUUUUGUAGAACGGUCCGGCGAGUUAUAGUUACUGGCAAGGUUAAGGACUUAAGGUCCGGAGCCGAAGCGAGAGCGAGUCUGAAUAGGGCGCAAAGUCAGUAGAUAUAGACCCGAAACCGGGUGACCUAUCCAUGUCCAGGAUGAAGCUAAAGUAAAAUUUGGUGGAGGUCCGAACGCACAUCCGUUGAAAAGGGUGGCGAUGAGGUGUGGAUAGCGGAGAAAUUCCAAUCGAACCCGGAGAUAGCUGGUUCUCCUCGAAAUAGCUUUAGGGCUAGCCUCGACUUAGUCAGACGGAGGUAGAGCACUGAAUUCCUGAGGGGGCGUCAAAGCCUGCCAAGGGAUAUCAAACUGCGAAUGCCGUCCUGAUGAUGGUCGGGAGUCAGACUGCACGAGAUAAGUUGGGCAGUCAAAAGGGAAAGAGCCCAGACCUACAGCUAAGGUCCCAAAAUACGUGUUAAGUGGAAAAGGAUGUGGGAUUUCGAAGACAGCUAGGAUGUUGGCUUAGAAGCAGCCACACAUUCAAAGAGUGCGUAAUAGCUCACUAGUCGAGAGGUCCUGCGCCGAAAAUUAACGGGGCUAAAACAUGACACCGAAGCUUAGGGAUGGUGUAAACCAUCGGUAGAGGAGCAUUGAAAACACGUAGAAGCGGUACCGGAAGGAGCCGUGGAGAGUUUUGAAGAGAGAAUGCCGGAAUGAGUAGCGAGAUGGAGGUGAGAAUCCUCCAGGCCGAAUAUCUAAGGUUUCCAGGGUAAAGCUGAUCUGCCCUGGGUAAGUCGGGGCCUAAGGCGAGGCUGAGAAGCGUAGUCGAUGGACAACUGGUGUAGAUUCCAGUACCUUACUAAAUCAGAAAUGUGGGGACACAUGGAGAAAGAGAGAGCCGGGAAUGAGAAGACCGGUGCAAGGGAGGUAGGAGUGUAGUAGGAAAAACCGCUACACAAUCUGAAGACCUGAUGCGGAUCGAAAAGAAGUAGAGAAGCUCUUGGACUCUGUGGCGAGAAAAGCCGCUAUUGUGUUUAGUAAGCCCGUACCGCAAACCGACACAGGUAGAUGAGGAGAGAAUCCUAAGGCCGGCGGGAGAAGCAUUGUUAAGGAACUCGGCAAAAUGACCCCGUAACUUCGGGAGAAGGGGUGCCACUUUAAAAGAGUGGUCGCAGAAAAAAGGCUCAAGCAACUGUUUAGCAAAAACACAGGUCUAUGCGAAACCGUAAGGUGAGGUAUAUGGGCUGACGCCUGCCCGGUGCUGGAAGGUUAAGAGGAGAGGUUAGCGCAAGCGAAGCUUUGAAUUGAAGCCCCAGUAAACGGCGGCCGUAACUAUAACGGUCCUAAGGUAGCGAAAUUCCUUGUCGGGUAAGUUCCGACCCGCACGAAAGGCGUAAUGAUUUGAGCGCUGUCUCAACAAUGCACCCGGUGAAAUUGAAGUACCAGUGAAGAUGCUGGUUACCCGCGCCAGGACGGAAAGACCCCAUGGAGCUUUACUCCAGCUUGAUACUGGGAUUCGGUAAUGUAUGCACAGGAUAGGUGGGAGACGAAGAAGAUAGAACUUCGGUUUUAUCGGAGUCGCUGUUGGGAUACCACCCUUAUGUUAUUGGAUUUCUAACCUUAGGCCGUAAGCCGGUCAAGGGACAAUGUCAGGUGGGGAGUUUGACUGGGGCGGUCGCCUCCGAAAG